rnacentral:piRNA from 1 species
UUCCUCAUGCUAUCAGGAUUAAGAGACUC